rnacentral:rRNA from 1 species
AGUGAACGCUGGCGGUAGGCCUAACACAUGCAAGUCGAACGGCAGCACAGUAAGAGCUUGCUCUUACGGGUGGCGAGUGGCGGACGGGUGAGGAAUACAUCGGAAUCUACUUUUUCGUGGGGGAUAACGUAGGGAAACGUACGCUAAUACCGCAUACUACCUACGGGUGAAAGCAGGGGAUCUUCGGACCUUGCGCGAUUGAAUGAGCCGAUGUCGGAUUAGCUAGUUGGCGGGGUAAAGGCCCACCAAGGCGACGAUCCGUAGCUGGUCUGAGAGGAUGAUCAGCCACACUGGAACUGAGACACGGUCCAGACUCCUACGGGAGGCAGCAGUGGGGAAUAUUGGACAAUGGGCGCAAGCCUGAUCCAGCCAUACCGCGUGGGUGAAGAAGGCCUUCGGGUUGUAAAGCCCUUUUGUUGGGAAAGAAAAGCAGCAGGUUAAUACCCCGCUGUUCUGACGGUACCCAAAGAAUAAGCACCGGCUAACUUCGUG